GACGAACGCUGGCGGCGUGCCUAAUACAUGCAAGUAGAACGCAGUUGCGAACGGGUGAGUAACGCGUAGGUAACUGCCUCAUAGCGGGGGAUAACUAUUGGAAACGAUAGCUAAUACCGCAUCCUGUGAGAUGGAACUGCGUUGUAUUAGCUAGUUGGUGAGGUAAAGGCGCACCAAGGCGACGAUACAUAGCCGACCUGAGAGGGUGAUCACACCCACUGGGACUGGGACACGGCCCAGACUCCUACUAUGACCAUCAGUAGAAAAACGUCGGCAAUUGACGGAAGUCGGACCAAGCAACGCCGCGUGAGUGAAGAAAGUUUUCGGAUCGUUAAGCUCUGUUGUUAGAGAAGCGGUAGCUAACCAGAAAGGGACGGCUAACUACGUGCCAGCAGCCGCGGUAAUAC
rnacentral:rRNA from 1 species